GAUGAACGCUGGCGGCGUGCCUAAUACAUGCAAGUCGAGCGAACGGACGAGAAGCUUGCUUCUCUGAUGUUAGCGGCGGACGGGUGAGUAACACGUGGAUAACCUACCUAUAAGACUGGGAUAACUUCGGGAAACCGGAGCUAAUACCGGAUAAUAUUUUGAACCGCAUGGUUCAAAAGUAAAAGACGGUCUUGCUGUCACUUAUAGAUGGAUCCGCGCUGCAUUAGCUAGUUGGUAAGGUAACGGCUUACCAAGGCAACGAUGCAUAGCCGACCUGAGAGGGUGGUCGGCCACACUGGAACUGAGACACGGUCCAGACUCCUACGGGAGGCAACAGUAGGGAAUCUUCCGCAAUGGGCGAAAGCCUGACGGAGCAACGCCGCGUGAGUGAUGAAGGUCUUCGGAUCGUAAAACUCUGUUAUUAGGGAAGAACAUAUGUGUAAGUAACUGUGCACAUCUUGACGGUACCUAAUCAGAAAGCCACGGCUAACUACGUG
rnacentral:rRNA from 1 species